AACAAAUUCAAACGUUCAUACUUGUAAGCAUCACGACGAUAUAUUUAAAACGCUGCAAUAGUUGAGGCCGGGCGACAGUGCGAUAAUGCGUUGACGACAAUACGACAGUGCGAUGACGACAAUACGACAGCGCGAUGACGACAAUGCGAUAACGCGAUGAUGACAGUAUGAUAAUGCAACAAUACGAUAGUGUGAUGGCGACUAUGUGAUGGCGACAGUGCGAUAACGCGAUGUCGACAGUGCGAUAAUGCGAUGGCGACAAUACGAUAGUUCGAUAGUGAAUGGUAACUGGUCAGUAGAACAUAAGCUUUCACGACAAAUACACAGAUGGUUCAUUAAUAAAUCUGACUGGGCACCGAGUUGCAGCGACUGCGUUUAGAGUUUUUACUAUAACAGUUUGAGUGUAAAAUUGACAACAUUUGACAGUUAUGUGUCUUAAAAAUCACCUGUAUGCAAAAUUUAAAUAAAAUUUACCGUGU